UGCUGUUGACGUGGUCGGGACUCUGUUCACGUGACUGUUGUUAACAUGACGCUUAUAACUGCGCUAUGGCGGGACAUGACAGCUCACAGCUCCUCAGAAGCGCCGUGAGCUGUCCAGUGAGGGGAUGGUUUCAUGUUCAAAUCUUCAUUUACUGUCCACAUUAUCAGAUGAGGACGUCACCAAAGAUUGUCCUUUGAGUCGAUGUUUACAUUUAUGUACAGAUAAUUAAGAACAUUUAGUUUAUCGUAAAAUGCUAAUUAUUUUCUCCUGCCACCUUUCAGACAUUGUCAUCCAAUUUGGAUGGAACAACUUCGUGACCUUAAUGACACCCAGCAACACGAGACGCACACAAGCACCACAGGGGAGGAUCUGCAGCAAAGGGCCCACCGGAAAUCAAACCUUGGCCGCUAUGAUGACGACAACAUGGGGCACUUGAGUGUGACUACGACUACCAGCAUGAACCUCAACACCUUCUUUGCUGUUCCACU